GACGAACGCUGGCGGCGUGCCUAAUACAUGCAAGUAGAACGCUGAAGGAGGAGCUUGCUUCUCUGGAUGAGUUGCGAACGGGUGAGUAACGCGUAGGUAACCUGCCUGGUAGCGGGGGAUAACUAUUGGAAACGAUAGCUAAUACCGCAUAAGAGUAGAUGUUGCAUGACAUUUGCUUAAAAGGUGCAAUUGCAUCACUACCAGAUGGACCUGCGUUGUAUUAGCUAGUUGGUGGGGUAACGGCUCACCAAGGCGACGAUACAUAGCCGACCUGAGAGGGUGAUCGGCCACACUGGGACUGAGACACGGCCCAGACUCCUACGGGAGGCAGCAGUAGGGAAUCUUCGGCAAUGGACAGAAGUCUGACCGAGCAACGCCGCGUGAGUGAAGAAGGUUUUCGGAUCGUAAAGCUCUGUUGUAAGAGAAGAACGAGUGUGAGAGUGGAAAGUUCACACUGUGACGGUAUCUUACCAGAAAGGGACGGCUAACUACGUG
rnacentral:rRNA from 1 species